UUUUUCUAAGUCCGAGGUGUGGUACACGCCAGGACACUGGGUUACAGACUGGCUAGCUCCACAUGACUACCGGCGCACGGGUGAGUAACGGCGUAUACAAUCUACCUAUUACUGGGGUAUAGCCCGGAGAAAUUUGGAUUAACCCCCCAUGGUAUGUAAAAGUGGCAUCACUUUUACAUUAAAAUUACGGUGGUAAUAGAUGAGUAUGCUUUCCAUUAGUUAGUUGGUAAGGUAACGGCUUACCAAGGCAGCGAUGGGUAGGGGUCCUGAGAGGGAGAUCCCCCACACUGGUACUGAGACACGGACCAGACUCCUACGGGAGGCAGCAAUUGAGGAAAUAUUGGACAAUGGAGGCAACUUUGAUCCAACCAUGCCCCGUGCAGGAAAACUGCCUUAUGGGUUUGUAACCUGCUUUUCCAAAGGAAGAACCCCACCCACCUUGGUGGGGGUUUGACCGGGCCUUUCGAAAAAAAAGGGUUUGGGUUAAUUCCUGGCCACCAACCGCGGGGAAUUUCGGGGGGAUCCCACCCGUUUUCCCG
rnacentral:rRNA from 1 species